rnacentral:rRNA from 1 species
AACGAACGCUGGCGGCAUGCCUAACACAUGCAAGUCGAACGAGACCUUCGGGUCUAGUGGCGCACGGGUGCGUAACGCGUGGGAACCUGCCCUUAGGUUCGGAAUAACUCCCCGAAAGGGGUGCUAAUACCGGAUAAUGUCUUCGGACCAAAGAUUUAUCGCCUUUGGUUGGGCCCGCGUUGGAUUAGCUAGUUGGGAGGGUAAAAGCCUACCAAGGCGAAGAUCCAUAGCUGGUCUGGGGGGAUGAUCAGCAACCCUGGGACUGAGACACGGCCCGGACUCCUCCGGGAGGCAGCAGUGGGGAAUGUGGGACACUGGGCGAAAGCCUGAUCCCGCAAGGCCGCGUGAGUGAUGAAGGCCUUAGGGUUGUAAAGCUCUUUUACCCGGGAUGAUAAUGCCAGUACCGGGAGAAUAAGCUCCGGCUACCUCCGU